GCAAGUCGAACGGUAACGACAGGAGCUUGCUCCUAGGCGACGAGUGGCGGACGGGUGAGUAAUACGUAGGGAUCUACCAAAUGGAGAGGGAUAACUUGGGGAAACUCAAGCUAAUACCUCAUAUGCUCUUCGGAGUAAAGCUGGGGACUUUCGGGCCUAGCGCCAUAUGAUGAACCUACGUCAGAUUAGCUAGUUGGUGGGGUAAAGGCCUACCAAGGCGACGAUCUGUAGCUGUUCUGAGAGGAUGAUC
rnacentral:rRNA from 1 species